GCAGUGGUGGUUCAGUGGUAGAAUUCCUGCCUUCUGUGCAGGUGACUCCGGUUCGAAUCCUGGCCAGCGCA